rnacentral:lncRNA from 1 species
CUUCUGUGUUGGAGUCAAUACUGUGUAUUGGCUCCAAGGCAGAAGAGUGGUAAGGGCUAGGCAAUGGAGGUCAAGUGACUUGCCCAGGGUCACACAGCUGGGAAGUGUCUGAGGUCAGAUUUGAACCCAGGACUUCCCAUCUCUAGGCCUGGCUCUCAAUCCACUGAGCCACCCUGCUGCCCCCAAGGAAUGAAUAUUUUUGAAACGGUGACAACACAUACAUAACUAGGCACAGAAAAGAUAUACAGAGAGUAGAUGGAAGGUUGAUAUAGUUCCUGGUCUGAGUACAUGGGUAGGGGCCACUUCCCGUGCUUUGAUCAUAGGUGGAAUCCUGUUGCCAGUAGACCUUCCUCUGGGAGUAUCCAUUGUUAUCAUUGGUAGUCAUGGGGCUAACCAAGGAAGCAGUAAGCAGCAGCGGUUCCCUGUGCCAGUGCCUGAUGAUGGUGUGGCCCUCACAUUGUCACCGUCUGAGACCCAGGGACAGAAAGCAACAAAUGGUUGGAGGACAGUCAUGAAGAAUAUGCAGCUUUGUGAUCAAACACUGACUACGACUGAGGAAUAUUUUCAGGUCUCAGCUAAAAUCUUACAUUCUGCAAGAAGCCUUUCUACAUUUCCCUAACCCCCUGCUUCUUAUGACUUCCCUCUGAGAUGAUCUCCAAUUUACCCUAGAUGUGUCUUGUACAGACAUGUUGUUUAGGGGUUGUGAAGAUUGGAUUUGGCUCUCCCCUGAUUGUAACAAUGAAGGUACUUAGCUCUUCCUUUAUUGUCAAGAUUAAAUUUUAAUCCCCUGUCUAUUUUUAAAUUCUAAUCCCUAACGUGUAAACCCAGUAAAAUAGAUCUACCCAUUUUAAUCACAAAAAGGUAUGAACUAACUACAAAAAGGUGUGAACUAACCACAAAAAGGUAUGAACACCGAUUUCAUACAUUGAGUGGGAGGUCUGUGACCCAUAUGUGAAAGAGUGGGCAGUCCUGGAGAAGAGCAUCUGCUGUGAUUGAUAGAUGUAAAUUUUAGGGGAGGUGACACAAGAGAAAAAGGUCUUUAAAUAGUGGAAACAGAGACAUACAGAGAUCAUUCAUCAGUCACUCGAACUUGGAAUGAAAAUCAUCAGUCACUUGGAGUUGGACUGGAAGACAGUCACUUAGAUUUGGAGUGAAGACACUUGGCUGUGGAACUGGACUGCUGGAGGAGCUCAUGUAGGAGACCUCGGACAGCUUUUCUUUUUGGUCACCACGGUGAGUGUAAAGGCUGACUUCCUUUCUUGCACUUUCUGGAGGUGAAAGACCCAUUGACUUGAGACUCCUUUCCUCUGACUGGUGCCUUAGAAUUUCUAACUGGUUCAGAGGAAGCUCUCUCUCUCUCUCUCUCUCUCUCUCUCUCUCUCUCUCUCUCUCUCUCUCUCUCUCUCUCUCUCUCUCUCUCUCUCUCUCUCUCUCUCUCUCUCUCUCUCUCUCUCUCUCUCUCUCCUUUUCUUUCUUCCUUUUUAUCUUCCCUCUAUUGCAAAAUAAAAUGCCAUAAAUUCCAUUUUACUUUAGUAAU